CUUCUCUCAGCUCUGAGUCUUACACCUGGCUUCACCUGUGGGACUUCCAUAAGGGGGGAGGGGGGGAGAUGGCCUCAGGACCUUGUGGUGGCCUCUCUUUUCCUCAGAGGCACAACAGAU
ensembl:snoRNA